UCCAGUUCUCAGUCAGCUGUCCAGACCUCCAUGCCUGGUUCAGUGUUACAGAGCUGGUAGAGGAAGUCUCUGUGCUAGUCCUCAGCUCAGCAGGUUCUGUUUUAGAGUCUGCUGCUGCUGUGGUGAAGCAGAGCACGGCUCAUUGAGAGUGGCCCUCCCUGAUCAACUAGCAGGGUGGGCCUAGUAUACGGCUGAACAUU
ensembl:snoRNA SNORA74 Small nucleolar RNA SNORA74